AAGAACAUAUGUGUAAGUAACUGUGCACAUCUUGACGGUACCUAAUCAGAAAGCCACGGCUAACUACGUGCCAGCAGCCGCGGUAAUACGUAGGUGGCAAGCGUUAUCCGGAAUUAUUGGGCGUAAAGCGCGCGUAGGCGGUUUUUUAAGUCUGAUGUGAAAGCCCACGGCUCAACCGUGGAGGGUCAUUGGAAACUGGAAAACUUGAGUGCAGAAGAGGAAAGUGGAAUUCCAUGUGUAGCGGUGAAAUGCGCAGAGAUAUGGAGGAACACCAGUGGCGAAGGCGACUUUCUGGUCUGUAACUGACGCUGAUGUGCGAAAGCGUGGGGAUCAAACAGGAUUAGAUACCCUGGUAGUCCACGCCG
rnacentral:rRNA from 1 species